UACGAAGGGGGCUAGCGUUGUUCGGAAUUACUGGGCGUAAAGCGUGCGCAGGCGGCUUCUCAAGUCAGUGGUGAAAGCCCGGAGCUCAACUCCGGAAUUGCCAUUGAAACUGUGGAGCUUGAGGACGAGAGAGGUGAGUGGAAUUCCCAGUGUAGAGGUGAAAUUCGUAGAUAUUGGGAAGAACACCGGUGGCGAAGGCGGCUCACUGGCUCGUUUCUGACGCUCAGGCACGAUAGCGUGGGGAUCAAAUAGG
rnacentral:rRNA from 1 species